GAUGAAGAACGUAGCGAAAUGCGAUAAGUAAUGUGAAUUGCAGAAUUCAGUGAAUCAUCGAAUCUUUGAACGCACCUUGCGCCUUUUGGUAUUCCGAAAGGCACACCUGUUUGAGCGUCAUGAAUACCUCAAUCUCCAUCUUUUCUUCAGAUUGAUGGGUGACUUGGAUGUUGAGCCCUGCUGGUAUGCUAUAUCAGCUGGCUUUAAACUUAUUAGCCGGCUCUGUACUGGAUCGGUUUGACUCGACGUGAUAAUAUUAUCGUUGAGGAUGCAUGUCUCAUGCAGCCGGAAAGUAUCAAAGCAGCUUCUAGCUUGCCUUUAGUGCACUUUUACAUUUUAGACCUCAGAUCAGGUGGGACUACCCGCUGAACUUAAGCAUAUCAAUAAGCGGAGGA
rnacentral:misc_RNA from 1 species